rnacentral:rRNA from 1 species
GACGAACGCUGGCGGCGUGCUUAACACAUGCAAGUCGAACGGAAAGGCCCCCUUGUGGGGUACUCGAGUGGCGAACGGGUGAGUAACACGUGAGUAACCUACCCUUGACUUUGGGAUAACUUCAGGAAACUGGGGCUAAUACCGGAUAGGAGCUCCUGCUGCAUGGUGGGGGUUGGAAAGUUUCGGCGGUUGGGGAUGGACUCGCGGCUUAUCAGCUUGUUGGUGGGGUAGUGGCUCACCAAGGCUUUGACGGGUAGCCGGCCUGAGAGGGUGACCGGCCACAUUGGGACUGAGAUACGGCCCAGACUCCUACGGGAGGCAGAAGUGGGGAAUAUUGCACAGUGGGCGGAAGCGUGAUGCAGCAACGCCGCGUGCGGGAUGACGGCCUUCGGGUUGUAAACCGCUUUCGCCUGUGACGAAGCGUGAGUGACGGUAAUGGGUAAAGAAGCACCGGCUAACUACGUG